rnacentral:lncRNA from 11 species
AAAUUCCCUUCGAGAAGAAUAAGGUUCAAGACAAGUCAAUAUUUGCAGAAUGUAUGAGGACUGUGGCUAAUCGGUUAACCGUUGCCUAAUCAUUACUCAUUAAAAUGUAACAUUAUGCUCCUGUGGUAGUUGGAUUUGCAGUAGCAACCACAGCAUCUUUGUUUCAUCUUGGUUAGUUGGUGUCGGUACAGCACUUUGAGGACUGAGUUGCUCAGGUAACCAACAUGGUGUCAAGUGAAACAAUGUCCUGUAGUGGAAUGGAAGCAUUUAUACAAUGGCCAAUGUUGAUUUAUGAAUUGCAGUCUCGCCUAAUUAGAUAUGGUAAUGUUGUGUUCUCUGUGUUGUACUUGCUAAGCUUGUUUAUCUUCUUCUUUCAUAACACCUCAGAAGAGGAAGAAAAGGGAAUAUGAGAUGGCAACCCACAUCCAUCGUUACAAAAAGAGCACAUUUCCUCCACUUCCCCCAGUUAAUUUCAAGACUCAGAUCAAUUCAAACCAAGAAAAAUCUGAAACAGGCAAUAAAGGGAGGACAAGAGACAGCAACAAAGUUUUAAGUGAUGAAGAGAAAGAAGCUCUCAUUAAACAAGCUCUGCAAGAAAAGGUAAUUCUGAUACAAUAUUAUGUAUUUGUUUUCAAAGAAGUAGCCAAAUUUGUCUUUUGCAUGU